AGCGUAAGCGUAUAUAUUUUGCCAGGAUAAAGUUAUACUUGUGAAUGAACUCAUGCAACAGACAUUCUGCAGUUGCAUCAUUGGAGGCAUUUGUAGCGGACAGUCAGAGGGCCUGACCCGUCCCCCUGCUGCUUGCUGAUCCACAUCUGCUGGAAGGCGGAGAGAGCAGCCUGCAAGGAAGCCACCGCUCCGGAUUUUUAGUGCCUAAGGAGAAACUCUCUUCAUUGGCCGUGAUUUCUCCCUGCGUUCUGUUGGCCCCCCUGCAAUGCUGUGUGGGCACACAGAUCCUUUCAGAGGUCAAUAGCACACUUCAGAACCGAGUUAAAAGUGGUUUCAUGAAUGUCACAGGACGCCAAGCCCAGGAACGAGGGCUGGAGGAGACGCUCUGGACAUCUGGACCUCUCAUGGCCAAGGACGACCUCCUGACCAUCAGAAGCUCACAGCCCUUCUCCGGGGAGGAAGCGGAGGACACAGCGGGGGCCAUCUCCUGCUCCAGCUCAUUGCAGAUGGGUAACAGUCUGUGGAUUGGCCGUGGUCUGAGGACACCUCUUUGAUAGCAUCGAUUCAGGCUGUUGAGAGGUGGACGCUGGCGUUGCAGAACCUCUCAGAUUGCCAGAAGGAACAAGGCUCCUGCAUCCCUGUUCCCCUAAGCAGGUACUUCUGGACACCAAGUCAAUUAACCUCAAGAUGUCCCAGGCCAGGCGCGCUGCGCUGACUUACGGCUGGAUCCCUCCUUCCAUCCCAGUCUGUCUCCCAGGACCUUCAGGAUGUACAUUGUUAUUAAAGUGUCCCCGCCAGUGGCCCCUGAUAAGCAUACAGAGCUGUGGGGUCGGGGUUGGAGUGGGGCGACCUGGGAGAGAGAAGUACGUACAGGUAGAG
rnacentral:lncRNA from 1 species